ACUUCGGUGGAUUUGAUUUAUUUCUAGUGGCGGACGGGUGAGUAACGCGUGGGUAACCUGCCUUAUACAGGGGGAUAGCAGUCAGAAAUGGCUGCUAAUACCGCAUAAGCGCACAGAGCUGCAUGGCUCAGUGUGAAAAACUCCGGUGGUAUAAGAUGGACCCGCGUUGGAUUAGCUGGUUGGUGGGGUAACGGCCCACCAAGGCGACGAUCCAUAGCCGGCCUGAGAGGGUGAACGGCCACAUUGGGACUGAGACACGGCCCAGACUCCUACGGGAGGCAGCAGUGGGGAAUAUUGCACAAUGGGGGAAACCCUGAUGCAGCGACGCCGCGUGAAGGAAGAAGUAUCUCGGUAUGUAAACUUCUAUCAGCAGGGAAGAUAGUGACGGUACCUGACUAAGAAGCCCCGGCUAACUACGUGCCAGCAGCCGCGGUAAUACGUAGGGGGCAAGCGUUAUCCGGAUUUACUGGGUGUAAAGGGAGCGUAGACGGUGUGGCAAGUCUGAUGUGAAAGGCAUGGGCUCAACCUGUGGACUGCAUUGGAAACUGUCAUACUUGAGUGCCGGAGGGGCAAGCGGAAUUCCUAGUGUAGCGGUGAAAUGCGUAGAUAUUAGGAGGAACACCAGUGGCGAA
rnacentral:rRNA from 1 species